GACGAACGCUGGCGGCGUGCUUAACACAUGCAAGUCGAACGGAAAGGCCCUGCUUGCAGGGUACUCGAGUGGCGAACGGGUGAGUAACACGUGGGUGAUCUGCCCUGCACUUCGGGAUAAGCCUGGGAAACUGGGUCUAAUACCGGAUAGGAGCCAUUUUUAGUGUGAUGGUUGGAAAGUUUUUUCGGUGUAGGAUGAGCUGGCGGCCUAUCAGCUUGUUGGUGGGGUAAUGGCCUACCAAGGCGGCGACGGGUAGCCGGCCGGUGAGGGUGGACGGCGACAUUGGGACCGAGAGAAGGCCCCGACUCCGACGGGAGGCAGAAGGGGGGAAUAUUGCACAAUGGGCGCAAGCCUGAUGCAGCGACGCCGCGUGGGGGAUGACGGCCUUCGGGUUGGAAAAUCCUUUCGCUAGGGACGAAGCUUUUUGUGACGGUACCUAGAUAAGAAGCACCGGCUAACUACGUG
rnacentral:rRNA from 1 species